UACGGAGGGGGACUAGCGUUGUUCGGAAUUACUGGGCGUAAAGCGCACGUAGGCGGAUUUGUAAGUCAGGGGUGAAAUCCCGGGGCUCAACCUCGGAACUGCCUUUGAUACUGCAAAUCUCGAGUCCGGAAGAGGUGAGUGGAAUUCCUAGUGUAGAGGUGAAAAUUUCGUAGAUAUUUAGGAAAGAACACCAGUGGCGAAGGCGGCUUGCCAGAAUGCGCUCGACGGUGAGGGAUGAAAGCU
rnacentral:rRNA from 1 species